UGAGAAGAGACGGGAGAGAACUCCAAAAGCUCGGUGGUAACAGAGGAAGGAAGUGGGAAGUAAAAGGACAGGAAGAUGGAGUGGGUGUUGUAGGAGGAGGAAGAAGAAGAAGAAGAAGAAGAAGAAGGAGAAGAGAGAAGAUUAGUUCCCGAAAGGGGCCUCCUUUCCCUCUGUUUCCUCCUCUUUCCGGUCCCCCUCCUCCUCUUCAUUCCCUCCAUACCGUUCCGUGAGUCUCCAUCUCUCCUUUCAGAUCUCCAUCCCUCCCAAUUUUCCUUGCCUCAGAAAAGAAGAGGCUUUGUUUUUCUUUUGCUCUCGAAAAAAAUCUGAGCGAUUCAGAAAAGGUGGGAUUUUUUCCCUCUGUUUCCCGAUCGCACGGGAGGGGAUCCGAAGGAGAUAGGUGCGGCGGCGAGUAAAGCGGGAAUCUUUUACCCGAUUUCUUCGUGCCCGCGGGCUAAUUCUCGUGGUGGGAUUCUCUGUUCUGAGGUCCUGGUCUCUGGGUUCUCUUCUUUUCUUUUCCUUUUGUGUAUAAGGUUGCAUUUUUCGCUUCCCAGAUCGGUGAUUCACUGCUUCUGCUGGUGGGCAUACUAGAACAUACAACAAGAUUUGAUUUUUGUGGGUUUACUUUUUUUUCUUUUUUUCUUUUUUGUUCCUAAGCUUGUAUCCGAUCUAUGCACAAGUAUUGUAGAUCGCGUUACACAGAAAAAAAGAUCUAAACUUUCCAUUCUGGUUCGUUCUUACUCUUUCUUUGUGGUCCAAUUUAAGUCUUAGGGAGGAGAUAAGGAGGCCUUUUAGUGGUCAAAUUGCAGGCUUUGGGUUUGGCCUUGGAGUUAUGUUGGAGGGGCGCUCCUAUUUGAUAUCGAGGGUGUUCAGAAGCUCCUGUGAGCAAGAAUCCGAUUGGCAUUGCAUGGAUUACCAUAUCCACGAGUCAUCGGACAACAAGAAGCGUCCGCUGGACGAGGAAUUUGAAGAACAACAGCUAGAAGACCGGGUCAAGAGGAAUAAAUCGCCGCAGCUCCCUGAUACCCCUGACAUCAAGGAUAUGCAGUUGCUUCUUGACAAUUCGUAUCACCGUGGCCGGGAGCAUGGUGAUUCAAGCAUUGUCAGUCAGCUUGGCGGGGAACUGAUAGUCAGCUGCCUUCUUCGCCUUUCUCGGUCCGAUUACGGUGCCGUCGCAUCGCUCAACCGGAUGUUCCGCUCUUUGAUCCGCAGUGGGGAGCUCUACCAGCUGCGCCGCAAGAUGGAUAUCGUCGAGCACUGGGUCUACUUCUCCUGCAGCGUCCUCGAAUGGGAGGCUUAUGAUCCAUACCGUGGGCGCUGGAUCACGGUUCCUAAAAUGCCCCCCACCGAGAGCUUCAUGUGCUCCGAUAAGGAGUCCCUCGCAGUGGGCACCGAGCUCCUUGUUUUUGGAAAGGAGGUGAAUUCCCAUAUCAUACUGAGAUAUAGCAUUUUGACUAACUCCUGGUCUCGUGGUGUGGUUAUGAACUCGCCUAGGUGCUUGUUUGGAUCCGCUAGCCUCGGAGAGAAGGCCAUUGUAGCCGGAGGAACCAAUGCUCAGGGUGAUAUACUGAACUCUGCAGAGCUUUACAAUUCCCAAACACAGACCUGGGAGACCUUACCUAGUAUGAACCAAGCAAGAAAGAUGUGCUCGGGGGUAUUCAUGGAUGAAAAAUUUUAUGUCAUUGGUGGAAUGGCUAGCAACACAAAGGUACUGACAUGUGGGGAAGAAUAUGAUCUGAAGCGAGGUUCUUGGAGUGUGAUCCCUAACAUGUCUGAUGGACUUAACGGUGCGAAUGGUGCACCUCCACUUGUUGCUGUGGUGAACAAUGAGCUUUAUGCAGCUCACUAUGCUGAUAAGGAGUUGAGGAAGUAUGAUAAGGUGAAACAUACAUGGGUCAGAUUGGGAAGCUUGCCCGAAAGCUCUGUCUCAAUGAAUGGUUGGGGGCUUGCAUUCCGUGCCUGCGGUGAACGGCUAAUAGUGAUUGGUGGAAGGAGAGGUUCUCUUGGAGGGAUGAUUGAGCUCAAUUCGUGGAUUCCAAAUAGGGGGCCACCAGAAUGGAACAUGAUUGCAAGCAAGCAUUCAGGCAACUUUGUUUAUAAUUGUGCUGUGAUGGGCUGCUGAUUGAUCUGAUUUUUUUAGACCUGUAUUUUACUUCCCCUGGAUGGAUGCUCAGCGUCAGCUUGUUAGUGGGCUCAAAGUAUAAAUUCUGCCUAAUGGGUGAUAACUGGCUUUCCUGAAUUCCAAUUAGACUGAAAAUUCAGUAGAGGUCUCUUGUCUGUGUAACUCAGAGUUCCAUUAUUUGUUGCUCCUCUCACCCCUUCAUUUAUUUUGCAUUUGGAGCCCCAUCAACAAUUACUCUUAUAUGGCAUCAUGCAGGACGAUUUUUUUGGUCAAUAAGUUCAAUCUUUGAAAUAAUUUGAACUCUUGAUGAGCAGUAGCUUUAUGUGGUUCAAAGGGACCCUUUCUAUUCCACUCCUGAAUGCGCUGAUGGAAGUUUGAUUACCUUGCAAGCACAAUGUGAGACUUUAAAGGGAUGGUGGACAAGUAGCCUGCUAGAUAUGCUCAGUUGACCGAGGUAAUACUUUAAAAUUUGUUUAUCACAUCUAGCGAGCAUUGUUCGAUGGGAGAAUAUUGCAUCUAGUGUUUCUACUGUUUGUCUGAGAUACCUUGGUUAUUUUUGCAUCAUUAUCUUCAGGUAGUCAUCAAAUUGUUCUAGAACUUUUUUUCUGCCAAAUCAAAGACCAAGGAAAUCUUUUGAAGAUCUAGUAAGCUGUGCAAUGCAGCAGACACCUUUUUUUUAUGAAUGAAUCUGGGAUUUUUUUUUUCACUUACAGAAAAAAUACAACAAUUUGUUUGUGCCGUUGGAUGAAAAUGGCUGUUGUACAUACCGUAGACCCUGUGGUGCUUAAGUUCACCUUUUAUCUUCCUGCAUUUCUUUCUUCAUGUAUACCAUUUAUAUCUAUUACUGACUUCCACAAAAAAUGGGGAGCAAUUUGUCUUGUUUCAACUCUCUCACUGAUUUUACAUGGUUGACUUUUACUUGUUUUGAAGGAAGAGAUUACCAAUUUCUCCUGAUCUCUGGCUGCUCAUAUUUAGAUUCAAAUGUACUUAUGCACUUAUGUAUCACUUUCUUCUGCCUCUUUUACCCAAUUUCUCCUAAUUUUGUUUAUGAUAUUCCUCUUGCUAUCAAAACCAUCAUAAUAUCUUCACCUCUGCUUCUUGCAUUCGGUAGUUAGCUUUUCUCUGGAGUAUCCUCAAAUGAAAAUUGUGACUUUGUGUGAUAAAUUGUUAAUGAUAGCAUUGCAUGCUUACAGUUAUUAGCGAAUGAACUAGCAAGGUUCGAUUUUUUGAUAGGUUAUUGAUAUAUUGGAUUGCACAUUUUUGACAAUCUGAAAUUUACAAGAGAUACUUGAGCACUAGACAUAUGUAGUGAAGCCUAUGCACUCCAUUGAUCAUGCACAUUUUUCCUUGAUUGAUUCAUAUCUGAUUUCUACUCUUCAGAAGGACCCUAAAUCUACCCAGGAAUUAGCAGUUUUAUCAUUUUUAUUGUGGCCAUUGGAGCACUCAAGGCCAAAUAUUCAGGGAAAUUAUGACUUGUUAUUAUAACCCAACAAGGGAAAGAUUCAUAUUUGUUAAAUACUCUAGGUGACUCCUGUGAUUGACUUUCCCUAAUCUUGAACUGGUAGCGCAAGCUCUACUUGUAGUAAGAACUACUGAAGAAUUUAGUAUUUUAGGAUGUCUAGCCUCUCGAAGGAUAAACACAAACAUUUGACAACAAUUAUAGAUAUCCUAUAGUCUGUAAAAUUAGUGAAACUCUGAUAUGAUUCACAAAUGUCAUACAAUUAUUGCCAUAGCUCAAGGAAUAUGAAUUAUAUGCAGAUUUUUUUUACAUCAAGAAACAUCAGUUUUGUGCCUAGAUAUAUAUGGUACUUGAUGUGAUUUUUGACUAAGGUAUCUCGAGGCAUAUUUGUCCACUAGGCAGUCAACUAGGAACCAAGGUAAUUGCCCGUACCAACAAUGAUAAUAACACAACAUAGAAUUAAUUGUCUCCGUAAAUGUUGAGGUUCUGUUUAAUAUCCUGUACUGAUUCAGGUUUUUUACAUAAUUAAGGAUGUGUUGCCGUCAGCUUGAUUUUUUUUCUUGUCCGGUGCUUAACUACUGUAGAUACAACCACAAUGUAAGGCACAUCAUGAUUUUAGUUGAUCAAGAUUAUUAGUCUUUUUCUUUUUUGGUAUAGAAAAAUUAAAUUGGAACUAGUUGCCAAUGAUUCUUAUUUUGCAGAAACUUAUUGGAGGAUUUUUUUUUAUACUUCUUUUGUUGGAUAUGAAAUAUCAUGGUAUGUUUACAUCUCUUUUACGAUCUGACACGGAACUGGUGGACUGGUUUACGUUGGAUUGACAUUGUGUAAGUGAAUUUAAAGAAGAAAAAGCGAGAAUAGGACCAGUCAGAUCCAUGAAACUUGUCAGUCUACUGUUUUUUUACAAAUUUAUCUUCCAGUUGAUUAUGCAGUCAAAAUCUGUCGAAAAGGUCAUUUUCUCAUGCACCUGACUUAUCAGAGAGAUUUUGGCUUUUACAUAUAAGAGAGCAACCAAGUAUAAUCAAAUACUUCUCCAGGUAAGGAGUUUAGAAGGUGACAAAUGUAAUGCUAUAAAAUUCUGUGGGGAAGAUGCCAUCAAUGAAGACUCUGUUCCCUUGAAGAAUCUUGAUUAUGUUGACAUGUGUUGCUUCAAGUAAAUCUAGCGCCAGAUUCUGACUUGAAUUGGUAAUGCAUCUGCCAGGCAAAACAGUAGUUUCUUUCUUCUGAAAUGCCGGUUUCUUUGGUUUAUUAUCUACACAACUUUGAAAUGCUACUUCUUUUGUAUAAUGCUAUCAAAAACUCAGAGAGGCCUUCUUCCUCAAGAAAUCAGAAGAUACAGCAGCUUUAUUGCUUCUUUUAAGCUUGUCCACUUACUUGCUUAGUGAAUUGGCAUGAAAGUUUGUGUUUCUUCAAGCUGCUCAAAAUAUAAUAAUGGAGUUUUAGCAGUA